rnacentral:tRNA from 1 species
AACAGCGUGGCGCAGUGGAAGCGUGCUGUGCCCAUAACCCAGAGGUCCCUGGAUCGAAACCAGUCGCUGCUA